rnacentral:rRNA from 1 species
GGCGAACGCUGGCGGCGUGCUUAACACAUGCAAGUCGAACGGAAAGGCUCCAGCUUGCUGGAGUACUCGAGUGGCGAACGGGUGAGUAACACGUGGGUAAUCUGCCCUGCACUCUGGGAUAAGCCUGGGAAACUGGGUCUAAUACUGGAUAUGACCUUUCUCCUUAUGGGGUUUGGUGGAAAGUUUUUCGGUGUAGGAUGAGCCCGCGGCCUAUCAGCUUGUUGGUGGGGUGAUGGCCUACCAAGGCGACGACGGGUAGCCGGCCUGAGAGGGUGAUCGGCCACAUUGGGACUGAGAUACGGCCCAGACUCCUACGGGAGGCAGCAGUGGGGAAUAUUGCACAAUGGGCGGAAGCCUGAUGCAGCGACGCCGCGUGAGGGAUGACGGCCUUCGGGUUGUAAACCUCUUUCAGCAGGGACGAAGCGUAAGUGACGGUACCUGCAGAAGAAGCACCGGCUAACUAUGUG